rnacentral:rRNA from 1 species
AGCUCCAUUAGCGUAUAUUAAAGUUGUUGCAGUUAAAAAGCUCGUAGUUGGAUUUCAGUACGGGCCAGUCGGUCGGCCGCAAGGCCUGCUACUGGCUGGUCUGUUCUUCUUCUCAAAGACUGCGUGUGCUCUUCGCUGAGUGUGCGUAGGAUUUGGGACGUUUACUUUGAAAAAAUUAGAGUGUUCAAGGCAGGCUUGUAAGCUUGAAUACAUGAGCAUGGAAUAAUAGAAUAGGACCUGAUCCUGUUUUGUUGGUUUGUCGGUAUUAGGUAAUGAUUAAGAGGGACGGUCGGGGGCAUUUGUAUUCCAGGGUUAGAGGUGAAAUUCUUGGAUCCUUGGAAGACAAACAGCUGCGAAAGCGUCUGCCAAGGACGUUUUCAUUGAUCAAGAACGAAAGUAG